UACAGAGGUCUCAAGCGUUGUUCGGAUUCAUUGGGCGUAAAGGGUGCGUAGGUGGCGCCGUAAGUCGGGUGUGAAAUCUCGGGGCUUAACUCCGAAACUGCAUUCGAUACUACCGUGCUUGAGGACUGGAGAGGAGACUGGAAUUUACGGUGUAGCGGUGAAAUGCGUAGAUAUCGUAAGGAAGACCAGUGGCGAAGGCGGGUCUCUGGGCCGAAACUGACGCUGAGGAGCGAAAGCGUGGGGAGCAAACAGG
rnacentral:rRNA from 1 species